GAUCAGAAGAGUCAAAGAAGAUCCACUGGUUGACCAGGAUUAAGACAUGUUAUCAGAGAUCAUGCACAGUGGCAUUUAAUGAUCACAUAUCAAGGUAAAGAACAGCCUGGUUGGAAAGGAUACCUACAAAUAUGCAGAAAAAAGGAAGCUGUCCUAGAGUCCAGAUGAGGUCACUGAAUCUCAGACCACAUUGCCAGUAAGUGGGAAAGCAGAGAUUCAAUCUCUCUCUUCCAAGAUGAGGAACGGGGGGAUCUCCACUACCCAGCAGCUGUCUACUAUGUGCAAAGGCCAGUUCUGGGUGUUGCAAAGGAUCUAACGAUGAGUACUGGAUUCUCAUAGAUCCACUUGCAGAGGUAAGGAAAGAGAUCUUGGGAAGGAAAUGGAACGGGUUCAGCAGGGUGUGGGUAGGUGGAGAAGAAAGUUAGGAACAUUCCUGGUUAAGAGGA